GCCAGUGUGGCGUAGUGAUUUGAGUGUUGGACUAUGAGUCUGGAGAACAGGGUUCAAAUCUCUGCUUAGCCA
rnacentral:tRNA from 1 species